AGAGCCACUGCACUCUAGCUUGGGCAACAGAGCAAGACCCUGUCUCAAAACACACACAUGUACACACACACAGAAAGUGCCGGGGGAAAUAAUAUGGUUGUGCUGUGUUUGUUCUGGUGGGUCUUACUGUGUUUCUAUGAGAAAGGCUGAUGAGCAAUUUUCAGAAUUUGAGGCAAAACUGGUUCUUCCUGUUUCAUCCUAUUUGUAUUUUUAUUAUCCCAAUUUUGCAGGUAAGGAGACCAAAGCAGAAAGAUCAGUAACCCUCCUGGAGUCUCACAAUUAAUAUGAAUCAGAGCAGGAUCUUCAACUCCUCAACUUGUGUUUUUAACUGGCACAUCUUCCUGCCUGGGUGCAGCAGAACCAAUAGGAGGAGGCUGGAGCAGAUAGGAGCUGCCUGAUGCUGCUGCAGCAGUCUAGCCAGAGACUCAAGCUGACUUCUUUCAACUUCCCCAGGGUACCUAGUGCACAAACCUGGCAUACAUCGCUCUCCUCCAAGACCCAGCCUGGGAGAGCCUACCUCUUGAGAGCUGUCUCAAGCUGAAGGUACCAACAUGAUGCCAUUGAACAUGGGACGUGAUGUGCAUAAUCAGCUCUUGGGAACCUUCAGGUGUGGGCUACAGCACCUCACUGGACCGCUGGGUUCCUAGUAGAGUGGAGGAAGUGUUCACUUAGCCACAACUUUGCUUCACCCUGGAGGCCAACUGAGGCAUGUUAGUAUACCCUCUCCCUGUAGUUCUGGAGUGAGGACAUUGGAAAGCUAAACAGUGGUGCUUGAUUCAAGGUGCUUGAUCUAAUUUCUGUGGCCUUUGUCUGAAGAGGGAGGAAUAAGAACGUGUCAACCUGGAAUUCCCAGACUGGCUGAUUGGGUCACAUUUGGAAAGCUGCUGUGUGCACAUCUGAUUAUCCUGCACCUAGGACUAUGAUUCAUUUCUUCUUUCUCAGAACGUGUAUCAGUUUGUUAUAUUGAUUAGCCUGAUUGUCUGAAUAGUGUCUUUCUGUGUCAAAUCUAUGAAAGUUUGAACCCUAUAUGCUUUUGCUGAAUACUGUAUUUCCAAUACCUAGUAAUUAUACCUAGACUGACACAUAGUGGGAAUUUUUUUCUUCAAGUUUAAGUGAAAAUUUAUUUAUUUUUUUAAAUCUCCAAAA
rnacentral:lncRNA from 1 species